rnacentral:ncRNA from 2 species
CAGAGAAAAGGCAAUGAAGUCUGCCUGAACCACCUGCGCCCGGCGCCGGUUGAUGACUUCUACCUCAGG